rnacentral:misc_RNA from 1 species
GAAACGCGAUAGUUAAUGUGAAUUGCAGAAUUCAGUGAAUCAUCGAGUCUUUGAACGCACAUUGCGCCCAUAGGUAUUCCUUUGGGCAUGUCUGUUUGAGCGUCAUUACAACCCUCAGCUAACCGCUGGUUUUGAACCUGAACGGGUGACACCGCGCCGGUUUUAAAGUUGUAAGAUCUGCUGGCCGCUCUGCCCAACCAGAACAUAGUAAGCACUACUUGUCCGGGUGAAGCUGAACGGUACGGCCUGAACAAAACCUACCCACUCUCAAGGUUUGACCUCAGAUCAGACAAGGAUACCCGCUGAACUUAAGC